GUGAGGAAUAUUGCGCAAUGGAGGCAACUCUGACGCAGCCAUGCCGCGUGCAGGAAGAAGGCGCUACGCGUUGUAAACUGCUUUUAACCGGGAAGAAACCCCAGGACGUGUCCUGGGUUGACGGUACCGGAGGAAUAAGCACCGGCUAACUUCGUGCCAGCAGCCGCGGUAAUACGAAGGGUGCAAGCGUUAUCCGGAUUCAUUGGGUUUAAAGGGUGCGUAGGCGGAGCGUUAAGUCAGUGGUGAAAUCCUGCAGCUUAACUGUAGACUUGCCAUUGAUACUGACGCUCUUGAGUGCGCUUGAAGUGGGCGGAAUGUGCCGUGUAGCGGUGAAAUGCUUAGAUAUGGCACAGAACACCAAUUGCGAAGGCAGCUCACUAAGGCGAUACUGACGCUGAGGCACGAAAGCGUGGGGAUCGAACAGGAUUAGAUACCCUAGUAGUCC
rnacentral:rRNA from 1 species